rnacentral:lncRNA from 1 species
GCCUCAAGCCCAACAAGAAGUUACAAUACUGUAAUGAGAAUUGAAACAUAAAAAAACAGACUAGCAGCAUCAAAGCACGGAAUAAAGCGAUCCCAUAAGCAAGUGAAAACCAAAAAUAGCCAUAACAAACCAGCCAAAAAAAUCUCGCACCAAAGCAGCACCAAAACAGAGGACAUGCAGUCCACCACCCCAUGCGCAGCAACAAAAAGGAGAAUGCCCACACCAGCCCCCCCAACCCAGCCCACGACCCAUAACUGAAAUCAGCAUAACAACAGACUGCAUGUCCCUGAGCAUAACAACAGAAGUAACGCUACAGCAAACCCCGAGCAGCCACCCCACACAGCAACAUGACCAAUGGCCAGCCUCAUACUGACUGCAUAACAGCAACCCAGACCAGCAAUGUUACAGCAGCGUGGUGCCUAUGCAAUCAGCAGUAACAAACCCACCAUAUUGAAUUAUUGAAGUAUAUAGCAUUAAAGCUUCCCCAAUGCAGAAUACCCACCAUAUAACAGCAACAAGGCAGUAGCAAUUAUUAUCCUAACUGCCUAACAACCUACCAAGUAAGCCUCCAAGCCUGACAAAGGCAGUAACCAGUAGCCCAAUGCCAGCCACCCCAGGAGCAAGAGAAACAGCAGUCGCCAACAUCUAAAAUAUCAUUUAACUGCUAUCAAAAUCAAUAGUCUAUUACCAGGCUCACUAAAACUUCAAAACAUGCUAUUAAAGGGAUAGAACAAUUAGCAUACUAUUAUCAGUUGUAAAUGAUAUAAAGCUUCUAUUUUUCUUUUUCAGUCCCCACAUUAUUGAAUUUCUGGACUUCUGUACUUAAUUUUAAACAAUCCUCUGUCCAAAAUCAAGAUUUGGUUUGUUCAAAGAGUGAUGAAUCCUUAAACCAACUAUCGAAUGAACUUAACCAAAUUAUAUUGUCCAUUUAAGGUAUUUAAUCAAGUAGCAGCAAGGUUUUGCAUAAUUUGCACCACAAGCCAUCCCAAUCACUUUCAAUAUUUAGAGUGUGACUUGUUUUUAUAUACACGGUUAUAUUGUAUAUUAGUGUCUACAAAAUGUGUAAGGAGUUCCUAAGGUAAUUGAAUCUUUUCAGUUUUCGUUAUCAUAGAAGUUAUCUUUUCUUUUACAAUGCAAAUUUCAAAAACUUUACACUAUUAUUAAUGCUCCAGCCCAAGAUAUGUGCCAACCCAAAACCCAGGCACCAGCAAAAAGCCAGCAGGGAAGCAGCCACACAAAAUUAACCCGACACCAACCCAACAUGAGCUAAAAAGUAACGAGCAUAAGCAGCAAGGUCAACAACAAAAAAGCAGCAAAACCAGCCCCUCCUCUGGUAUUCAAUGCAAGGACUGUCAUGUGAUGCAGAGGGGGAGAAUGAACAACCUAUUCACCAAAUUAACAGAUUUGAAGGAGGAUGGGAAAGAAAAAGAGGGGGGAACUUGACAUACUUAUUCAUCCAUAUGAAUUCUUUUCUAUGAAUACUUUCAGAAGAUUAUCAGCUGACCCACGUAUAAAUAUUUAUCAAAGUAAGAACUAAGAACCAUUAUGCUUAACCAUUGAUAACAUAAGUGAAAAAUGAAGUUGCAUUCCCCUUGAGAGGCAAAAGAGUUCCACCGUCACAAACCCAAAUAAAAUUAAACUAUGUACACCCUCCCUUAAGUGACCUUAAUGGCCUAAUCCAUUGGCACAUAUUUUGAAAAGAGGGCAAGUCAACUAUGGCUAUAUAGUUCCUUGUCUUUAAGCAAGACUUAAUGCUCCCACUAAAACCAAACUAAAUUACUAAAGUAUGAAAUACUACCUUUUAACAGCUACCCGUCAUGUAGAACUUUAAUCAAGGACAAAAACGUAACAAGGACAAUUGGUUGUUCAAACAAAUAACUUAAACAAAAGUUUUCUAUUUAUUUCAUUUAUACUGUUGAAAUCAUACUUUUGUUUGUGCUAAAUACAAAAGAUAUCACGAUGCAAAAUCAAGAACCCCCACAGAGUACAACAGAAACUUCAAUAAACAAGACAAACACAAAAUAAAAAUGAGAAUGAUAUUAAAUGCAUUGUGGUAUGAAUAUGAUACAAGACCAUUAGAACAGAAAGUAUGGGCUUACAAAUAUAAUACAAGUGUACAAGACAAAAUACCAAUGGAGACAUAGAGCUAAUUUCCCUUCUUUCAGCUUCACAUAAUCAAUAAUUCUUAUUUUUAGCUAAGCAAGAAACAAAGAUUCUAGAAUACUAUGUAACCAAAUUCUGAGCUCAGAUAUUCUGAUUUGUAUUGUUUCUGGAAAAAACAUAUUUCAACGGAUCAAAAUGGACUAGGUACAAUUUUUAGUUAUGCAAACCACGCUGAUUGAUUAAUUAUUUCAUUAGGUAGCAUAUUCUACUGACUCAAAGUUUAAGCUUCUGAUUAAUUACUCUUCAACUAAAUUUUCUUGCAUGUGUAAAAUUGGAAUUUAUAAACAAACUAAUAAAAACACAUUUCUAUGAUUUCGUAAGCCAAACAGAACUUGGUGGUGUACCAAAUUCAAAGAAAAUAAUAUGCAGGUCAUAUUACAACAACAACGAGGGAACCUGUUAUUUCAACUUGACUGAAUAACCCAAAAAAUAGAGACAAAAAUUUACAGAUAGAGACAUACUUUCUAUAUUAUAAAAAAGCAAACUCCAGCAAAAUUCAUCUGGGCAUACAUAAACACACUUUUUAUAUUAUAAAAAAUCAUCAUUUACAAACAGCAACCCAUGAUUUGAAAAAAUUAGCAAAAAAGAAUCCAGAUGGAAGACAAUCCUGGUAUAUAUAAUAAAAAUAUGUAAGUAGAUAAAUAAAGGAAGGUGUAAUGAAUAGGAGAAACUCACCCGGCCACAUAGGGCUAAUUUCAGAAAACCAGUAAAUGAAAUGAAAUAUAAACAAGUAAAUAUAAUGUGGGAAUUUACGGUGAUCAAUUCAUGUUGAAGAAAUAAGUAAAUAUAUUUACAAAGACAAUCAAUCAAAUGAAAUAUAAAUCAAAAUGAUGACCAGUAAUAAGUCAACAUGAAAACCAGUGAUAUGCCACUCAUCUAGCCCAAGAGCCCUUGUCAGAAAGAGCUACACCUCCUGCUUGUG